CAGGGAGACAACAAAAUGUUUAAUAUUAUUAUUUUGUCACCUUAGGUCGAUCGGUAUCUCACAUUCUUAAUUUAUUAAGAAUUUCAUUUCCUAAGUUUUCUAGGUCACACCCAUUAUUUUUCCUGGGCCAUUAGCUCAGGUGGUUAGAGCGCACCCCUGAUAAGGGUGAGGUCCCUGGUUCAAGUCCAGGAUGGCCCAUAUCUCUAUGUUGGGGGUAUAGCUCAGUUGGUAGAGCGCCUGCUUUGCAAGCAGGAUGUCAGCGGUUCGAGUCCGCUUACCUCCACUGAUUACCACCUCUACCAUAAUCUGUAGAAAGGAAAAUUUUGUGAUGUGAUCAACUUUCUGAACGAAUCUAGCUUCUUAAUAAAACCAUUAAGAUGCUGGACUCAUUGAAUUAAUUUCAUUGUUUUCAGAGAACCUUGACAACUGCAUAGAUUAUUUUUAAAGACAAUAAGCAUCUUUAUGAUGCAGAUUUAUUAUUUGUGCGAAUGCAUUAAUAACAAUUCUAUUAAGCUGAUGCUUCAAUUUUGAAGUUAUU
rnacentral:tRNA from 1 species